rnacentral:rRNA from 1 species
GACGAACGCUGGCGGCGUGCUUAACACAUGCAAGUCGAACGGAAAGGCCCUGCUUUUGUGGGGGGCUCGAGUGGCGAACGGGUGAGUAACACGUGAGUAACCUGCCCUUGACUCUGGGAUAACUUCAGUAAACUGGGGCUAAUACCGGAAAUGAGCUCCUGCUGCAUGGUGGGGGUUGGAAAGUUUCGGCGGUUGGGGAUGGACUCGCGGCUGAUCAGCUUGUUGGUGGGGUAGUGGCUUACCAAGGCUUUGACGGGUAGCCGGCCUGAGAGGGUGACCGGCCACAUUGGGACUGAGAUACGGCCCAGACUCCUACGGGAGGCAGCAGUGGGGAAUAUUGCACAAUGGGCGGAAGCCUGAUGCAGCAACGCCGCGUGCGGGAUGACGGCCUUCGGGUUGUACACCGCUUUCGCCUGUGACGAAGCGUGAGUGACGGAAAUGGGGAAAGAAGCACCGGCUAACUACGU